AGAGUUUGAUCCUGGCUCAGGAUGAACGCUAGCUACAGGCUUAACACAUGCAAGUCGAGGGGAAACGACAUCGAAAGCUUGCUUUUGAUGGGCGUCGACCGGCGCACGGGUGAGUAACGCGUAUCCAACCUGCCCACCACUUGGGGAUAACCUUGCGAAAGUAAGACUAAUACCCAAUGACGUCUCUAGAAGACAUCUGAAAGAGAUUAAAGAUUUAUCGGUGAUGGAUGGGGAUGCGUCUGAUUAGCUUGGUUGGCGGGGUAACGGCCACCAAGGCGACGAUCGAGUAGGGGUUCUGAGACGGAAGGUCCCCCANAUUGGAACUGAGACACGGUCCAAACGUCCUACGGGAGGCA
rnacentral:rRNA from 1 species